rnacentral:rRNA from 1 species
UACGAAGGGGGCUAGCGUUGUUCGGAAUUACUGGGCGUAAAGCGUACGUAGGCGGAUUGUUAAGUGAGGGGUGAAAUCCCGGGGCUCAACCUCGGAACUGCCUUUCAUACUGGCAAUCUUGAGUCCGGGAGAGGUGAGUGGAACUCCUAGUGUAGAGGUGAAAUUCGUAGAUAUUAGGAAGAACACCAGUGGCGAAGGCGGCUCACUGGCCCGGAACUGACGCUGAGGCACGAAAGCGUGGGGAUCAAACAGG